rnacentral:rRNA from 1 species
AAUUGACGGGGGCCCGCACAAGCGGCGGAGCAUGCGGAUUAAUUCGAUGCAACGCGAAGAACCUUACCAAGGCUUGACAUGUUCCAGAUCGCCUCAGAGAUGGGGUUUCCCUUCGGGGCUGGUUCACAGGUGGUGCAUGGUUGUCGUCAGCUCGUGUCGUGAGAUGUUGGGUUAAGUCCCGCAACGAGCGCAACCCUCGUUCCAUGUUGCCAGCGGGUUAUGCCGGGGACUCAUGGGAGACUGCCGGGGUCAACUCGGAGGAAGGUGGGGAUGACGUCAAAUCAUCAUGCCCCUUAUGUCUUGGGCUUCACGCAUGCUACAAUGGCCGGUACAAUGGGUUGCGAUACUGUGAGGUGGAGCUAAUCCCUAAAAGCCGGUCUCAGUUCGGAUUGGGGUCUGCAACUCGACCCCAUGAAGUCGGAGUCGCUAGUAAUCGCAGAUCAGCAACGCUGCGGUGAAUACGUUCCCGGGCCUUGUACACACCGCCCGUCAAGUCACGAAAGUUGGUAACACCCGAAGCCGAUGGCCUAACCACCUUG